UGUUUUAAGGGUUUUUUGUUGGGUUCGGGUUUUUUCCCGUCAGACGUGCCUGGCUGGCGUCAGAUGGCUGGUGCUUUCUCCAUGCCGACAAGGAAGAACGGCAUCCAGGUGGGUGCUGGUUCUCCGUGCAACGUGGAGGAAGUUUGGCUGUAGUGUCUAUGAAAAGAAGAGACCAGAUUAAACUGCACCAGUUUGGAAGUCCCUAUUAGUCCAAGAGGCCACUACAGCAUUUGAUGUUGUAAACUACAGAACGAAAGCAGGACAGCUUGAGUCUGCAUAGCAUUUUUAUCUUGAGUCUUCUAUAAAGUUUUCUAAAAUGGGAAACGAGGUACCAAGGGAAAGGGACAUGGGCAACACCCUGAGGUGCUGCAAGUGUGGCAAAGAACUGUCUCCCUGUACGUCCAAUGAUGACUUAAGAAAAGAGACUGUCAAUGGGAUAUAUGUGCACGUCUUCAAUAACGGAGAAUACUACAGACCAGUUGGCCCCAACUAUCACUAUGAGUGUAGAAGCUGCUUCAAAUAAGGCUGUGAAGACAGUAGGAGAGAAGGAGAGCAGAUGAAAGGAGA